CUGAGGUUGGGAUGGGAGCAGUAGAGGCGAAGCGGAACCUUUGUUUGGGGGACGUUGCUUCCGGGUUGGUUAUGGGGCGGAGUUCCGGUUUGCCUCAAACGCAAUGUGGAUGCUAACGGCAGCGCUUAGGUGCUGACUUCUAUUUUAUUAUCCUUCUGGUCAGUACACGGUGAAAACAUACCAAAACUACUCUGUAAGAUGUUUCCUUCUCAUUUGACCAGUAUAUAGCUGUGUGUUAGGGUUUUGUGCACCGUUUUGCCAGUAGUUGUCAGUUUUAUCAGGCGAGGGUAAAGUUGGCAGCCCGCGCUGCGAAAGUCACGCGAGAUAAAAUCUGUGGUCAAAUCUGCUGAAGGAGUCUGGCACAUCCGCACAGCCAGUGUAUCAGCAUUGCAUGGAAGGAGAGCUUCAGGGAACGAUGCCCCACUAAACUCAACACUUCUGACAUUUAGCACCCCGACAUGUCAACUGGUUGAACAGGCAGCUUAACUUGUUUUGAGAAUGGCAAACAUGGAGUCCCUCGGGGCAGAUCCCACAAAGGAAAUGGCCUGUGUCUGUUUGUGUUUGUAAGACACAAAAAAAGGAGAAUGGAGUGAAUGAAUUAGGGGGAAGAGAGCUCAGGCAUCGCUGAGUCUGAACAGAACGCCGAGCAUAUGGCUUUGAGUCAUUCAGUGGUGGAAAGAGAAAGGUGCUUUUCUUGAUUUAAUGAAGUGGUGCAGACAGCACUGAGUGUGAGACAGGCUGCUAUUUAAGGAUUCCUGUUAGUCACAAUUAUGUAUCCUGCCUCAGAACAUGAGAGUGAAUUUAAAAACAGCUCAAUAAAGCUUUUGUUAAUUUUUUA